AGCGCAGGUGGAAAAUCAAGUCUGUUUUAAAAGUGCGGGGCUCGACCCCGUGAGGGAAUGGAAACUGGUUUUCUUGAGUGCAGGAGAGGAAAGUGGAAUUCCUAGUGUAGCGGUGAAAUGCGUAGAUAUUAGGAGGAACACCAGUGGCGAAGGCGACUUUCUGGACUGUAACUGACACUGAGGCUCGAAAGCUAGGGGAGCGAACG
rnacentral:rRNA from 1 species